UACGAAGGGGGCUAGCGUUGUUCGGAAUUACUGGGCGUAAAGCGUGCGCAGGCGGCUUCUCAAGUCAGGGGUGAAAGCCCAGAGCUCAACUCUGGAAUUGCCUUUGAGACUGAGUGGCUUGAGUGCGAGAGAGGUGAGUGGAAUUCCCAGUGUAGAGGUGAAAUUCGUAGAUAUUGGGAAGAACACCGGUGGCGAAGGCGGCUCACUGGCUCGUAACUGACGCUCAGGCACGACAGCGUGGGGAUCAAACAGG
rnacentral:rRNA from 1 species